AUUGAACGCUGGCGGCAUGCCUUACACAUGCAAGUCGAACGGCAGCACGGGAGCAAUCCUGGUGGCGAGUGGCGAACGGGUGAGUAAUAUAUCGGAACGUGCCCAGUCGUGGGGAUAACGUAGCGAAAGCUACGCUAAUACCGCAUACGAUCUACGGAUGAAAGCGGGGAUCGCAAGACCUCGCGCGAUUGGAGCGGCCGAUAUCAGAUUAGGUAGUUGGUGAGGUAAAGGCUCACCAAGCCGACGAUCUGUAGCUGGUCUGAGAGGACGACCAGCCACACUGGGACUGAGACACGGCCCAGACUCCUACGGGAGGCAGCAGUGGGAAUUUUGGACAAUGGGCGCAAGCCUGAU
rnacentral:rRNA from 1 species